GUUAUUGGACUCAGCGCCUACGGUAUUGUUCAAAAAGGUCUUAAUCUUGAGACUAAUCAAAUUGUAGCAAUAAAGAGACUGCAUACUUUUUUUUGACUGCAAAAAUGGUGUCCCAUAUGCAACAAUCUUGGAAAUCUUUAUGCUGACAGAGAUGGAUCACAUAAAUAUUGCCAAGAUAUGAUAUUCCCCUGAAAUGAUUGACGGAAAAAAGAGUAUGGAAAAUUGAUCGGUUAGCACCCUGACUAGUAUUCUCAGCAUCUUCAUUAUAAAGUUCGUCAUUGGGUAUUUUUCCAUGCUGCCUUUCAUUUAUUUUUUGCAAGUAGAGACACUCGUGCAUUUGCAAUAUCAGUGGGAUGUACCAGUUUAUGUAUUCUUGGUGGUACUUUGGAAAUUUGUUGUAUACAUGAGAGAAAAUAUUGCAAUUCAACUAGUACAUUUUCUAUGGAAUAAACUUUAAAUCUGUUUGGUA